rnacentral:rRNA from 1 species
UACAGAGGUCCCGAGCGUUGUUCGGAUUCACUGGGCGUAAAGGGUGCGUAGGUGGCGUGGUAAGUUUGAUGUGAAAGCUCAGGGCUUAACCCUGAAAUGGCAUUGAAUACUACUAUGCUGGAGGUUUGGAGGGGGGACUGGAAUUCUUGGUGUAGCAGUGAAAUGCGUAGAUAUCAGGAGGAACACCAAUGGCGAAGGCAGCUCGCUGGGACGUGACUGACGCUGAGACGCGAAAGCGUGGGGAGCAAACAGG